rnacentral:rRNA from 1 species
UACGUAGGUGGCAAGCGUUGUCCGGAAUUACUGGGUGUAAAGGGCGUGUAGGCGGGGAUGCAAGUCAGAUGUGAAAUUCCGGGGCUCAACCUCGGAGCUGCAUCUGAAACUGUAUCUCUUGAGUACUGGAGAGGAAAGUGGAAUUCCUAGUGUAGCGGUGAAAUGCGUAGAGAUUAGGAGGAACACCAGUGGCGAAGGCGGCUUUCUGGACAGUAACUGACGCUGAGGCGCGAAAGCGUGGGGAGCAAACAGGAUUAGAAACCCGGGUAGU